UUAGAUAGCAGCCUCUUGACUCGCCAUUUGUAGCUCCGCUAACCUGGACCUGGAGCUGCCCACGUGUCUGUUUGCCUGGAAUCUACCGACCGACCCACCUACCUGUGUGUGCAGCACGCCCAUGUAUGCACACACGCACCUGUCUCCUCAGCCCUUCUUUAAAGAUGUCACCAUUAUUUGUUCAGGAGAAAUGCCCCCGGGGGCAAAAUGUGUUAAUCAAUGUCUUACUUUUGUAUCCGGAUCUGACAUGGGGGCCCACGCCAUCUCCAACAUGUACAAAAAGGCACUUCGGGAGAUACGACGCGUUUGACAAGCGAAGGACAAGCCAACUGCUUGAGAGAUCGCGUCCAAUUCCUGACCUGGACUCCAGCUAGAGCGGGGCCUGAUCCUGGAAAAGGGACGGGGAACCGGAAAGAACUCACUGCUGUGUGCGUGGUUGCGUCUGCUGGAUGUUUGAAACCCAGUCCCCGCUCCCCAGAAUAGUGUCAGUUCGUGCUCUUAGAUUAGUAGCUACAGUUGGCAUUUUCUCCCAGGUCUUUUUCCCUUUAAACCAGUCCCUUUCCAAUUCGGAAGUCACAGAAAUAUAUGGCAGGUCUCUGUUAAAAGCCGUCCUUUGGAGAUAGAGAGAGGUGUGUGUGUGUGUGUGUGUGUGUGUGUGUGUGUGUGUGUGUGAAUACUAAGAGUUGAAAGGGGGAAAGGGCCCAUUUGUUCGUGCAUCCCCCCGGGCAGAUGUUAAAAUAAACGGGGUCAUUUUAUGCGAGGGCGAAAACUGGAGGGCAAAGCGAAGGAAGACUUGCCCCAGAAAUUGACCUUCCAGCAAGACUCACAAGACUCACAACUUCACUGUAAGGUCUCUCCUCCC